UUCGCUGUCCGGGAGUUGAUUCUGUUGAUGGCACAAAGUGCAGUGCAAUUCAUUUUAAUGGUAGCUUCCCAUAGUCGCAGACCCAGCCCAUGAGCCCAUACACCGCCCGGUCCUGUCCAGUCCAGCUGUUCGUUCCGUCACUUGAGAGUCAAUUUCAGAAAACUUGAUUUCCCAUUUCCAAUGCCAGCGCCAAUCCGACGAUUUAAGGGAUUGCCUUGGAUUCCUACUCAACACUCGCUGUGCAUUCAUUCAUUUUUAUGAAUCUGCGAAAUUGACUCGGACAUUGUUCGGUUUGCGGUCGAAGGCAGAACAGAACAGAAGAGAAUACGGAACGUGUUGUGGGUUGCCUCGUCUCAUUUGAAGCUCGCUCCAUUCCCAAUCGCAGCUGUUGAUGGUCAUUGGCAUGCUUUUGGCUCUGCCAGUGGCAGCCGCAUUGAAGGUUCUUGCUUUUGUUGCAUGUGGCAUGCCCUCAUGAGCAUCACGUCAGAAUGCAUAACAUAUAUCAAGUGUCCCAAGAGCUGAGCUUUUAAAGAAGUCUAGAGAAACUUGUUGGGCUGACUGGAGCACAAGAUAAAUCAUAAAACCAGGAUAUAUAUAGUGAUUUGUUCUAAUUAGAUUGAUUAAUAUUUCUAUACAAAAUACA